GACCAAAACAUUUAAACAUUGUGAAGUUUGAAGACUCCUUCAGAGGCUCAAGCUUAUCCUGUGAAGUCGGCAACUCUGUGCCCAGCUACAUUGCUGCUUGUCUGAAUCCCAGUGCGUGUACUCAGUGUGAGCCAUUAAUUUCAGUGGGCUGCAUGCAUAUGUCUCAAGUGCUUUGUUAAAGUAGAAUCAAUAUAAGCAUACGCCAAAAUGUCUUUCAUUAUUACAGUUGGGGAACAGACUGCUAUUACGGUUCAAAACAUGAAAGAUACAAUAGACAUAUAUGAUUAGGCAAUGAAAUAUGCCUUUAAUAAGCAUAGUGCAGACAGUUUGUUUUGCAGUAAGUAACCUUAUAUAAAAUUCAUUGACUUUUUCAUUCUUUCAGAUCUAUAUGCUCCCUUUUAAGAGAGGUUUUUUAGUUUUAUGCACAAAGUUUUCCUGAUGUUCUUCCAGGAGAAAGGCUGGAGUUGCAUGCAUUUAUUCUAGUGCCAAACCUGAAUUUUACUAGGAAAGGAGGAAGCAUAAGAGCAGACCUUUCUCGUGCUAGGGAGACGGGGUGGGGUAGAGUGUUUGUUUUCUGGGGCAGCAUGAAACAGAUUUGGUUUAAUUACUCUGUCUAUAAAAUAGAAAAUUCUGUCCACUGCAUGUCAAAAAGCUAAUUAUGUUUCUGUUGUGGCACUCAAAGUCAAUACUGUCAGCUCUUCUUAGUUCUAAUCCUUUACAUUGAAUUUUGAUGGGCCAGGUGAAAUAUUCCCUUCAGCACCUUAUUGCAAUUCUUGUCAAUCAUCUUGCCAUGAAAAUAUGCAUAUUGCAAAGACUUUGGCAACGCUGCAUCUGAUUUCAGUCUUUAAUCUCGUAUGUGCCUUAAAAAAACACCAUGCCAACUGCUGGCGUUCUGUUUGGGAUGUGAAUAGGAUUCUGUUUGCUAUGGGGAAACAAAGAAAAUGAUCAAAUCUUUAAAGAAUAAAAUGGGACUCCUAGGCUUUCUUAGGCUUAACAUUGUACCACUGGAAAGAAAACAGUUAGGAUGGUGAGCUGGUGCACAAAUUAAUCGAUGCAUCCACAUUCAUCGUGUGGAUGUAAAAUGUCUCCUUUCAAGCACUGCUGGAGUGAGGAAGGUUGUCUUAUUUUCCCUGCAGAUUUUCUUUGCGAGGGGCGCCGUUAAGUAACGUCCAAACACGGUUCGUGAGUUAACUGUAUGUGCUGCUUUGUUUGCUGUCGUUUCUUACAGACUAGAUCUAGCACACCUAAAAUUUUCCAGUUCUACAAUGGAAAAUUAGCAUCAUCUCUAAGAAUCUGGAAUAGAAACUAGUAAGGCACAUUUCCAGAAUCCAAUUGCAUCAGUCAGAUUGGUGUAGUAUGAAGAGAAAAGCGAAUAUUCCCUGGGGCGAUUGUGUGAAAUGGAGACCAGUCUUGUUUGAACAAGGUGCUUUGCAUUGUUAGCUAGGAAUAGAGGUACUGGGAGCUGCAGCCUGUUGGAACCAGCAUCUCCAAGGAAGGGGUGGGGGGAAUUUUUUCCAGGCUAAAAUCUCAGCAUUUUGUGAUCGAGUUUAUCUGAUGUAUUAAAGCAUUAAGUCAGGGAAACCCUCAGUGCUCUGCAAAAGAUGAACUGUAAACGUCCUUACUGUUUUUGUCCCUCUUCCCCCAUUCUCUUUCAGAGAACAUGAAGAACAGGACUGUUGUGGGAUAUUUUCCUAUCCUUCUUACCCUUAGCGUAAAGCAAGAGGGUGAAGAGGAAGUGCAUUAAUUUUCACAUGAAGGCAAGUUGUACAAACACAGCUGAAAACAUCAGAAAACACAGGCAUUUUCCUUAGAGAAAUGGAAUCGAUGAACGUUCUACUGAAAAGACUGCUAAGUAAUUGGGAAGAUGUUGAGCCAUUAACCAAGCUUGGGAGGAGGAGUAUGCAGUUCAAAGGUCAAAUGUAUGAAAGCAAAGCCUGCUUAAUAUACCAAGAGCUCUUUGUAAAUUUGAUUCUAACUUGAGAAGUUAGAGAGCUGUGAAGGGCCCUUCCAAACACUUCCAUUUUGUUUUCUGAGGGUUGAGUCUGCAGUGACGCAAUUUUACUGGCACAGAACUUGGAAGAUGUUGUACCAGAACAAAACAAAGUGUGUCUGGAAGCAUCUUGUCCUAAAAACCGUUUGCGGGCAGUACAGAUUUCCUUAUGGAGGCUGUCUCAGGUACUGUGCGAGGCUUGGCACGCAGACACAACCAGAAAUGCAGGCGAGACUUCGUGGAGCAAAGUGUCCAAGUGCUGAGUGAGCGCCCAAUGGGCCAUAGCAAAAUGCGCAACCAAGUCAAAGAAGAACGGAAAAUAUUUCAUAAAAUUCAUCUCUGCAUCCCUUUUUCCUCUCUUGAUAUACGGCCUCUUACUCACAGCUGCCCGGGCCGCGGCCUGCGUGUAAAUAUGUCAGAGCAGCAAUGAGACGGAACGCGGACACAGAAAUGCCGGCGGCUGCUCGCAGAUAAAGCGCCGAGCUGAAGCCGAGGCGUUUAUUGUAAAUGGAGAUCAAGGCAAAGCAGCAACGUUUCUGUUUGACUUCAGCCUGCCAAGGUUACUCGUCCAACUCUUUUCACGACUACCAUAUGUCCACAUGCAUUUCCCCCUCCAGAAAGUGAAAUGUUACUCUUAUGACAGCUCCGUAGCCAUUGCAAGUUCCUCGAUACUUUCCAUGUGUUGUUUUGCAACAACCUGGAAACGCUGUUGGCAGAUGGGCCGGUGGGUGCGUGUGUGUGCGUGCACGGGAGAGGGAGGCUGCCAGCCUGCCGGCCGUUGGAGCCUAACACUGCUGUACCUUGACAGUAACUGCAGGGCCUGGGAAGCAUUGAUGCUCUUUUUUGUUCUUUUCAGCAGGGGGCACUGGAUCCUGUAAACAGGAAUUGGUACAUUGCAGCUCAAAGGGCCAAACAGCUUUAGCAGAUGGGGUGAUUUUUUUUUUUCCUCUUGAUACUUGUGAUGUGGAAGAGAAGUCUGUGCACCCACUGACAGAGAGGCAUCCAGCAGUAUGUGUUGCAGGUUAAUGGGAUAUAUGGACAGGAGACUUCAGCUUAAUGCCCUGGAAUCAGGACAAUUUGAGGUGUUGCCUAGCUCAGCCCUCCGACAGGAAAGGAAAGAAUAACUUGAACAUCUCUCCAGUCAUUUCCUGAUAUUUGCUGUUAGUGAGCAGAUGUAAUUCACUCCAAAAGGGACUGCCAAGUGCUCCUGCGUGUCUCAUCUACUAAGCAAGGUUGGUAGCACCAGCUCUCCGUAAGAUUUCCCUCUCCUGAGGAGAGGCUGGUGUCAGCCCCAGCUAACUCUCAGAGGCCUGACAUCAAACUGGUUGGAGUUCUGUUAGAAGUCAACUGAAAACCUGUUGCUGUUAUUAUCUGACACUGGCUGAAACAAAAGCCAAAUGUUGAUGAAUGUCUGAUCCUAAAAGUAAACAUUUUGGUUUUUUUUUUCUCUUUGCAAGUCAGGGGCCCUCUAGGGUUUUAUCUGAUUUUGGCAGUCUGUUGCACAUUUUGGGGCCUGGAGCAUGGUUUUAAUUGUUACAUCACAAAAGUUGCCAAAUAAUGUUGAAUGCUCCUUAAAAACUCUCUCAAUUUUAUGGAACUUCUCAACGGCUUGACUAAUACAAUAAUUGCUGGAACCCAGCUAUGUUGCCUAGUGGCAAAUGGAAUUUUUUCAUAAUGAUGCUGUCUGUCGUUAAUAGCAGGAUUUGUUCUUUCUCUCAGUGGGAGAGAGGCCAGAAAUCAAUGGUAUCUGUCUUUUUUAAUGACAGCUAACAGCAAACGGAUAAAAUAAUCAAUUACAUCUAUAGCUAGGUAGAUAAAGUAUAAUUUAUCAUGUCAAAAACAAAAAUGUUUUUAAUUGGGCUGUUAAUCAUUUUGUAAUUUUAACUAACGAGAUGAGGGCACUAUUUUACUAAUAUUUUGUACAAUAUUAACUGAUCUUAUAAUAGUUUUAAUAGCAGUGUUUACUACUAUCUGCCAAAAUAAGAAACACCAUUUCUGCUUUCAUUAGCUGAAGCCUUUGCAGUUACAAAGGGCUGCCAUUCUCCUUCAUUUUUCUCCCACUGGAAGGAUCCAGGUGAAGAAAAGGGUCUGGCUCACGAACCAGCUCUGAGUUUCU